rnacentral:rRNA from 1 species
GAUGAACGCUGGCGGCGUGCCUAAUACAUGCAAGUCGAGCGAACGGACGAGAAGCUUGCUUCUCUGAUGUUAGCGGCGGACGGGUGAGUAACACGUGGAUAACCUACCUAUAAGACUGGGGUAACUUCGGGAAACCGUAGCUAAUACCGGAUAAUAUUUUGAACCGCAUGGUUCAAAAGUGAAAGACGGUCUUGCUGUCACUUAUAGAUGGAUCCGCGCUGCAUUAGCUAGUUGGUAAGGUAACGGCUUACCAAGGCAACGAUGCAUAGCCGACCUGAGAGGGUGAUCGGCCACACUGGAACUGAGACACGGUCCAGACUCCUACGGGAGGCAGCAGUAGGGAAUCUUCCGCAAUGGGCGAAAGCCUGACGGAGCAACGCCGCGUGAGUGAUGAAGGUCUUCGGAUCGUAAAACUCUGUUAUUAGGGAAGAACAUAUGUGUAAGUAACUGCGCACAUCUUGACGGUACCUAAUCAGAAAGCCACGGCUAACUACGUG